UCUCAGCAUUUAUUGAGAGUUGUC
rnacentral:siRNA from 1 species